rnacentral:lncRNA from 1 species
AUCAGGGUGUGUGAACGCGAGGAGCGCGACGCGAGUGUGGGUCAGACACCAAGGAAACCAUACGGAGUGCCUGCUGGGCGCCACCGACAUGCCCGCGCGAGGGAUGCAGCCGGGGCCCUGACCUCGCAGGCCGGCUGCGUAGACGGCCGCAACCGUGUAAACAGGCUCGGAUCACUCCGGCCCGCGCUAAGUGCGGGGAGGACACCAGCUCGGGAGAUGGAGUAAGGGUCAGGGAGCGAUUCUCGGAGAAGGUGUCAUCCGGGCCUGAGUGGACUAGCCAGCGGGGGCUUUUGAGGCCCAGGAAGCAGCGAGAUUUUGAGGCAGGGCCCAGCCUGGUGCGUUUGCAGGGAGAAAAGAGGCCAGCGUGGCUGGAGUGCCGUGAGGGAGGCUUGGAGGUGGGGAGAGGUUGGCCCGCGCCUCGAAGAUGGCGGGGAGUGAGUGGAUUCCGUUCCCGAGUCUGUCGGGCCCACGGGAGGCUUAGAGCAAAAUUUUGUUUGUUUGACAGAGAGAGAAAGAGAGAGCCAGACAGCACAAGCCGGGGAACAGCAGAGGGAGCGGGAGAAGCAGACUCCCCACUGAGCAGGAAGCCCAAUGCAGGGCUCCAUCCCAGGACCCUGGGACCAUGA